AGAGCUCGAAUGGCAAAGAAAUAUAAUUGUUCUUGCAACCAAAAAUGGAAAUGAACCUUCAAAAGUGCUACGGCCAUGGCCGUAGCGCCGUAGCCGUCUCGCCGGGGCUGCCAACAGUGUCAUAUGACAGUCUCCAAGAGCCAAAAAUUGGUUUGCCAAAGGCUUCAUAGACGGAAUUUUCUAAUGCCUUCUUCGCAAUAAUACGGACCAUCAGCAGCGACACGUGCUGGGGUUGUAGCUACAGGAUUGAGCAAGGAUACAGAACGUCCCAAUUUUCGAGAGAUUACUGAUGAAGCGCGAUGGCUAGUGCUGAAGUCGUGAUGAUGAUGGAAUUACCUCAAGCUAGGACACGGCAUCCCAGAACAUGCAAUUAUGUUUGGACAUUGGUGCAGUCUCUCACAGAAUUGAUUAACCUAAAACCACUUUGUGACACCACUCAAAUAACAAGUCUACUCAAACAUUCGAGAAUGUCUUGUCAAAAUAACCUGGAAAGUCACUGUCAGUACACGAUGGCAUGCACUACUUGCUGAUUCGUGUUAAACAGUCACUGCACAGCUACUGGAACAAUUUUGUUCUUCUACUUGAUCUUCAUGUCUGGAUGAAGUUAAAUUUCUCAUCAAGUUUGUUGUGGAAGAAGAGUGUUUCUAGCUCCCAACUGGCAAUUAAGGAGUGACAAAUCUUCAACUAAACACUUUCCUAAUGGAUUACAGUCUGGACUUCAGCUGGUUGACAUGAACAGUUUUGUAGUUGGACCAGGAAUGAAUUCAAGUGAUUGAGUCAGCAAGAGGAGAGGCUAGAGGCAUGACUCUGAAGCCUGGUUCACAAUAUUGACGCCGACGUUGACGUCGACGUCGACAAUAGAAAUGAAUCCUAUUCCAGCGUUGACGUCGGCGUCAACAUCAAAGGAUGCCGCCGACGUCGAGGCGGUUUAUUUGAAGUUUGACGCUCAACUUAGCGUUGGUGUCAUAUUGUGAACCAGGCUUGAGAGGUAUGGUUUGAAUCAUACAGUUAAGAGUUUGAAAUGAGAAAUUAUGUAAUAGGGAAAAUACGGUAAUAUAUGUCAUCUGCCUCUAAUGUGGGCAUGUCAAAUCACUGUCAUUUUUAGAGUCAGGAGAAGGUAUUAGAGGUAAUCAUAGUUGUGGGUUGAUGCUUUACAAAUUUUGUUUGGGUGCUUGUCUUGUCUGCCGGUUUCUGUACAUUGUUUCUUUGUCCAACAAGACAAUCUUUGUGUGUCUGUUUGUUUGUCUGUCUGUCUUAAUUUUCUUGUGUGGCAUUGCAUUGCAUUUUGCCUCAAAUUUUCGAAUGGCUUUUUGUGUCAGAAACUGUGUUGAAUAUAGCUUUUGUUUAAUUUGCCUUGGGCUGCAGUUUUGUGUUAGGGCCAUGUACAGUAUACACAUUGGAAUGAGCAAUACUGAUGCUCUCUGUUUUGUUUGUUUCUAAGAUAUCCAGCAGUACACUCUGUAACUUGUUUGUGAGAGAAUGUUGAGGCCAUAUGCUGGUUAACUUGUUAGCUCUUGUGGGUCUUCCUCUGUUUGUUUGUUUGUCUGAUCAAAACAACAGGGAAUUGGCUGAACCAAAGGGAUUAUGUUCCCAUGUUCAGUUAUAUCAACUCUUGCCAGCAGUUGCACAGCUUGUUUAUUUAUUUCAAGCUGGGGUGACAGUGGCAUUUACCUGUACUGAUAAUGUCAACUUCUUGAUUGGCAAGAACCUUCUAUGAGGUAUUGCCAAUGUGUUGGUUGGUGAGUAUCAUGCUUAGUUAAUUAGUGUCUAGAUAGUUGACAAUCUGGUCAGACAAUUGACAUAAAGUGCAACCAUAGCCAUAUGUACUCAGUACUGUCUUGAAAUAAGGACGGUUUGAUCAGCAGGAAUGACACAUUGAGUGGUACGUAAUUUUGUGUUUCAACAGAGUGUUAGUGUGAAUUGAGUUGUUUGAAGAUUGGUAUGUAUCUUGACUUUGAUUGUUGACUUAUUUGGCAGUGGGAUUAGACAUGAUCCAGAAACUUUAGGGUACCUUUGUAACAGACAGUUUGAGCACAAAUAUGCACCAAAUGACACAGAAGACUGUCAGAAAAAGACGGUUGAACAGCUUGUUUUCUUGUUUGCUGGUUUUUGUUUGGUUCUCUGGUUGCCUGUAUGCUACCACUGUCAGAGUUGUAUUUUUUCUGCUUGCAUAGCUAGCAUGCAGUGACUGUAAGUGCAUGUGUGUAGGUCUGUAACUGGAAUAUAUGGAUAUGUCGUGCUAGCACAUCUCUAAUAAUAUCUACAGAUAACCUUUUGAGGCUUUGCAACGAGAAGUGGACAAUUUACGGGAGGAGAGACUCUGAUUCUUGUGGAAAGACAUUCUACUCCUCACUCUUAAUUCCUCUUUGAAUAAUGAAAUAAACGUAUGACGAGAUCAGACGUGUACACAGUGUAGUCUGAAGUGUGAUCACGACAAGCUUGCAAGUGUACAUCCGAUGGGCGUGACUUACAGUCCAGCAGCAAUUCGUCUUGUUCUCGUUCUCAGCGUUCCUCGUGUUUACAACCGGUAUCAGCCGGUUGGCGGCUGAGGAGAUCCACACCCGUUUGCUGGGCAGAGGAGGUCCGCGUGUAGGCGGGCGCAGUAGAGUGGAUAGGUCAAACGUAUCUCCCUGUCGGAUCUGGACGGUCUAAACACUAGACUCUGGACUCCUAUUUGUAUGUAGGGAAAAAUCGAGAUAGUUAACGUUUUAAGUGAUUAUCUAGAAUAUCCGAUUUUGUAUAAAUAUUUUCGAUUUUUGAACACAAAUUCUAACUAAUGCAAUUGAGA